GGUCCUGUAGUGAAGUUCACGGUGAGUUGCAAACUCAUUAAUGUACAUUGUGUGUGCCGGGAUCU
rnacentral:tRNA from 1 species